UACGAAGGGGGCUAGCGUUGCUCGGAAUCACUGGGCGUAAAGGGUGCGUAGGCGGGUCUUUAAGUCAGGGGUGAAAUCCUGGAGCUCAACUCCAGAACUGCCUUUGAUACUGAGGAUCUUGAGUUCGGGAGAGGUGAGUGGAACUGCGAGUGUAGAGGUGAAAUUCGUAGAUAUUCGCAAGAACACCAGUGGCGAAGGCGGCAUCCUGGACCGGCAUUGACGCUGAGGCGCGAAAGCCAGGGGAGCAAACGGG
rnacentral:rRNA from 1 species